rnacentral:tRNA from 1 species
UUCUUUGUUGUUGAGCGGUAAAGCACCUGGCUUCUGAACCGGGGGUCCCGGGUUGGAAUCCUGGUGAAGACU